AGCUGCUGACCUCUAGCUGCUGAAAACAGGAACUUUCUGCUGGGAGUUGCAGGCAGGCUGGGAAUGACAGCAGACAGCAAGGAAAUAAUGAACAAAUUAGGACUUUUCUUCUGCAACAUCAGCUGAAUAAACAGGAAACUAGUGAGCCAGUACUGACCAACUCCAGGAGACAGCAUGGCAGCUGCAGAGCUUGAUGAUGGCAGCUCAAUGAAGCGCUGCGGGAGCAACG